AUGGAUUGCACCUAUCUGAAUUGGAAUGUGAGGGGGAUUAAUAACCCUGCGAAGAGAAGGGCUAUUCAGAUUUUCGUUGCUGAUCUUAAAUGCAAUAUUGUCUGUUUGCAAGAGAUAAAGAUUUGUGACAUGUCACGCAACAUUGUGGCGGAGAUGCUUGGGCCGCGAUUUGCUGACAGUUUCAUUGCGCUUCCUGCAGAUGGAUCGAGAGGGGGAAUACUCAUUGCUUGCUCAGAGGAUUAUGAGAUUGAGGUGGAACCACUUGCGGCUGGGGAUUUCUCGAUCUCGGGGACAGUUAGGAGAAGGGCCGAUGGUUUUUGCUGGUCGAUCACCGGGGUGUAUGGGCCUCAGCAAGAUGAUGACAAAAUCCGGUUCAUUGAGGAAAUGAAGAGGACCAAACAGCACAUGCUGCCAAGAUGGAUGAUGAUGGGGGAUUUCAACCUGAUCGUGAGAGCCUCUGAUAAGAACAAAAAUAGCGUCAACCUGAGGAUAAUGGGCCGGUUCAGGGCAGCCAUUGAC
rnacentral:rRNA from 1 species